UACAGAGGGUGCGAGCGUUGUCCGGAAUCACUGGGCGUAAAGGGCGCGUAGGUGGCGCUGCAAGUCGGUGGUGAAAGCUCGCCGCUUAACGGCGAGUCGGCCAUCGAAACUGCAGGGCUCGAGCACUGUAGGGGCUAAUGGAAUUCCGGGUGUAGCGGUGGAAUGCGUAGAGAUCCGGAAGAACACCAGUGGCGAAGGCGACUAACUGGACACGUAUUGACGCUGAGGUGCGAAAGCGUGGGGAGCAAACAGG
rnacentral:rRNA from 1 species